rnacentral:rRNA from 2 species
UGGAUCCAGACUUUGAUCCUGGCUCAGGAUGAACGCUAGCGGCAGGCUUAACACAUGCAAGUCGAGGGGCAGCGCGGUAGUAGCAAUACUACUGGCGGCGACCGGCAGAAGGGUGCGUAACACGUGAGCAACCUGCCCGUGACAGGGGGAUAACCGACGGAAACGUCGCCUAAUACCCCGUAACAACAUAGGAGGCAUCUCCAGUGUUUGAAAGACACGUCAGUCACGGAUGGGCUCGCGGUACAUUAGCUGGUUGGCGGGGUAACGGCCCACCAAGGCGACGAUGUAUAGGGGUUCUGAGAGGAAGGUCCCCCACACUGGAACUGAGACACGGUCCAGACUCCUACGGGAGGCAGCAGUGAGGAAUAUUGGACAAUGGAGGCAACUCUGAUCCAGCCAUGCCGCGUGAAGGAAUAAGGCCCUAUGGGUCGUAAACUUCUUUUGACGCAGAGCAAUAAGGACUACGUGUAGUCUGAUGAGAGUAUGCGUCGAAUAAGCAUCGGCUAACUCCGUGCCAGCAGCCGCGGUAAUACGGAGGAUGCGAGCGUUAUCCGGAUUUAUUGGGUUUAAAGGGUGCGUAGGCUGAAGAUCAAGUCGGCGGUGAAAUGUCCCGGCUCAACCGGGGCCUUGCCGUUGAAACUGGUCAUCUGGAAUGCGGAUGCCGUGGGAGGAAUGUGUGGUGUAGCGGUGAAAUGCAUAGAUAUCACACAGAACACCGAUUGCGAAGGCAUCUCACGAAUCCGCAAUUGACGCUGAGGCACGAAAGCGUGGGGAUCAAACAGGAUUAGAUACCCUGGUAGUCCACGCAGUAAACGAUGAUGACUAACUGCCGGCGAUACAGUGUCGGUGGCCAAGCGAAAGCGAUAAGUCAUCCACCUGGGGAGUACGACCGCAAGGUUGCAACUCAAAUGAAUUGACGGA